rnacentral:snRNA from 1 species
GGAUGUGAGGGCGAUCUGGCUGGGACAUCUGUCACCCCAUCGAUUGCCAGGGUAGAUUCGGCUGAUCAGCCUGGCCUGGCGGGUGUCGCUUCCUCCCUCACUGCCCCCACACGCGUCCCUCCCGAAGCCAUGUGCUUGGGAGAGGGCAGCUUUCCCCGACACGGGAGGACCGUUCUUUGGUCAAGGGUAUACGAGUCUCUGCGCUGCCCUGCUAGAGCCCCCCAACGAGCUCUCGGGUUCAUGUGUAGGAGGACGUGGGGUAGUCAGGACUCCAGACACAUCCAGAAGAGGUGCUGCACGUGGUGGUCUGCCUUUCUUA